rnacentral:tRNA from 1 species
GCCUUCGUAGUGUAACCAUAUAGCACAUUCGUCAAGUAUUCGAGAGGUCCAGGUUCAAGUCCCGGUAAAGGCA